GUCCGUUCGUGGCCCACCGUGGUGGUCACCAAAUUAAGGGCUUCCUGGAAGGACCUCCUCACGGUGCCCAUCCACUGGGUCAUGUGGGUCUGAGCCACCGUGAGUUUAUCUCCCAGGAUCUCACUCUGUUGCCCAGGCUGGACUGCAGUGGCAUGAUCACAGCUCACUGCAGCCUUGGCCUCCCAGGCUCAAGCGAUCCUCCCACCUCAGCCUCCCGAGUAGCUGGGACUACAGAUGCAGCAACACCAUCAGUCAGAAGGCAGCGGAUGGCACAGGGCUUCCGUGUAAGGCCUGCAUCGCCUGAGUCAUGGUUUUCUCAUCUUGUAUGAGGCCCACCCCCUUUAAAAGGUUGCGACAAAAAAACAACUGAGAUAAUUUGUGCCCCUGGCACAUAGUUAACAUCAAUAAGGCCAGGCGUGGUGGCUCACACCUGUAAUCCCAGCACUUUGGGAGGCUGAGGCAGGUGGAUCACUUGAGGCCAGGAGUUCGAUACCAGCCUGACCAACAUGGUGAAACCCCAUCUCUACUAAAAAUACAAAAAUUAGCCAGGCAUGGUGGUGUGCACCUGUAGUCCCAGCUACUCGGGAGCCUGAGGCAGGAGCAUCUCUUGAACCCAGGAGGUGGAGGUUGCAGUGAGCGGAGAUUGCACCACUGCACUCCAGCCUGGGCGACAGAACAAGACUCUGUCUCAAAACAACAACAACAAAAAAAUAAUAAAUGGUGACCACAAGGAAUGAUCGUUUUUCUAUUAUAAUUCCUAUCAUCUCACUGUUCAAAUGAAUCACAGAACCCUAGACAGUCAGAACCAGGACACCAGCAGGGACCAACCUAGGCCAACCUUCCCACUAAACUAAAGAAACAGGCCCAGACCGAGGGCUGC